UGGGGAAUAUUGCGCAAUGGGCGAAAGCCUGACGCAGCGACGCCGCGUGAGGGAUGAAGGUUUUCGGAUCGUAAACCUCUGUCAGAAGGGAAGAAACCGCACUGUGCUAAUCAGCAGUGCCUUGACGGUACCUUCCAAGGAAGCACCGGCUAACUCCGUGCCAGCAGCCGCGGUAAUACGGAGGGUGCAAGCGUUAAUCGGAAUUACUGGGCGUAAAGCGCACGUAGGCGGCUUUGUAAGUCAGGGGUGAAAUCCCACGGCUCAACCGUGGAACUGCCUUUGAUACUGCUUAGCUUGAAUCCGGGAGAGGGUGGCGGAAUUCCAGGUGUAGGAGUGAAAUCCGUAGAUAUCUGGAGGAACAUCAGUGGCGAAGGCGGCCACCUGGACCGGUAUUGACGCUGAGGUGCGAAAGCGUGGGGAGCAAACAGG
rnacentral:rRNA from 1 species